CUCAGUUCUUGCAGUGGCUCCUCCUUUCGUCGCUUGGUUGCGGAGGCGCUCCCGUCCGUCGGGACCGACAUGGCGGCGGCGACCGCCUUCACUUCUUCUUCCUCCGCGUUGCGCCCGGGCUUGGCGCCGCUGAGGAGGUGGCGAGCGCUCUCCUGCCCGGCGCCCCUGGCCGCCUACAGCACCAGCAGCUCCCCUCGCCGCGCCGCCAGUGAUGAAGCAACCAUUAUCUCAGGGACAAGGCUCGCUCAACAAGUCUUGAAAGAAGUUCAAAGGGAUGUAGAAUUGUGGAUAUCCUUUGGAAACAAGAGACCUCAUCUCACUGUCAUAUUAGUAGGAGACAAUCCGGCCAGUCAUAUCUAUGUCAGAAACAAGAUAAGAGCAGCUACAGCAGUAGGCAUUUCUAGUGAGAUCAUACUGAGGCCUAAAGACAUAUCGCAGGAAGAACUCUUAGAUAUGACUGUAAAACUCAACAAGAAUUCAAGAGUUAGUGCUUUGUUAGUUCAGUUACCUCUCCCAGAUCACAUCGAGGAGAGAGCUGUUUGUAAUGCUAUUGCUCCUGAAAAGGAUGUGGAUGGAUUUCACAUUAUGAACAUUGGACGCCUGUGUCUUGACCAGCCUUCUAUAAUACCUGCCACUGCUGCUGCCGUUUGGGAGAUCAUCAAACGGACAGGAAUACAGACAUUUGGGAAAAAUGUUGUAGUAGCGGGAAGAUCUAAGAAUGUUGGAAUGCCUAUUUCAAUGCUUUUACAUACUGAUGGAGAGCACGAAAGGCCUGGAGGUGAUGCUACAGUGACCAUCACUCACAGAUACACACCAAAAGAGCAGCUUAAGAUCCAUACGCAACUUGCUGACAUUGUAAUUGUAGCUGCAGGUAUCCCAAAGUUGAUUACAGCUGACAUGGUCAAAGAAGGUGCGGCUGUGAUUGAUGUAGGCAUCAACCAUAUCCAUGACCCUCUUACAGGAAAGACCAAGCUAGUUGGGGACGUGGACUUUGAAGUUCACUGAGCAGUUCCCAGGUAUCAGAAAGAACAAGGCAGGAAAACGCUGUACAUGUGGAGGUCAGCUGCAGAGUGCUGAGAAGUGAAGAAGAAGGCUGCCUUUAUCACUCCAGUGCCGGGAGGGGUAGGACCUAUGACUGUUGCAAUGCUCCUGAAGAACACACUCAUAGUUGCCAAAAAGCUCAUUUACUAGAGCAAGUGGGCUCCUUUGGAAGAAGAAUCCAAGUUGUUCUAUUUAUUGAUACACAAAAUGUUUAUUUUUUACUACAAAGAUAUUUAUUUCUACAUUGUAUUUAUUUUUUCAUGUAAAGCAUGCUAAACCAAAUGGUUUACAAGAUGUUCAAAUACUUUGUGUAACCUCCUACUGACUAAAAGCUAAAAGGGAGAAUGCAGCCUAUGCAGAUCUGGUGGUGGUGGUCUAUUACCUGUGUGAAAAUAAAGCAGCAGCAUGAAUUACAAACGUACCUGUGUGUUUGGGGGUGGGGUGCAAGUACCAAAGUCUUGUAAGCACCUGGAACCGCAGUCUUAAUCAAACAACAUGAAAACUUACUUUCGACAUGCUAGAUAGGUUUUAAAAAUAUGAUUUGGGUUCUGAGGGCAUGACGCAUACUGGGUGUAGUUUGUACUCUUAAAAUUCUUUUUUUUUUUAAACACUUAAGAGAUAGCAGCAGAAAUCUUGAAUCUGAAAGGAGUGAAAGGCUGAACUUUUCAGCUGCUUAGCGGUAACAUUGACAUGACUGCAAAACUUCAAUACCUGUUUUAAAACAGUCAGGUGGACCUGAACGCUGGUGAAAUUGUGCUCUUGAAUGUUUGCAUGAGGUAUGCAUGAAUGAGGAGCUAGAAUGGAGGCCAGCAUUAUUUUCUUUCCAUAUCUGAAUUUGUUUAACUAAAUGUUUUGGUGCAUAACACCCUCACUCUUCACAAGAAACUGAAUAGUUGGCUGGGCUGGAUCAGACUUCAGUUAGGCAAAUCAUAGUUUAAACCACCAUGUAUGUAUAUUAUAUAUGUAACGGGGUGGGGAAGAAGAAGAAGAAAAAAGCAAGAGUUUAUCCCUAAUGCAAUAUUUGUGUUGGAAUUUUAAGCCACUUAAUUGUUCUCUUGGUUUCUGAAACUGCGUGAAGGGCUGGUUUUAGUCCAUGGUAUAAGGCUCAGCUCUGUGAAUCUUUGACUACAGUGUUUUACUGCUUAGAGAAGGCUAGAUGGGAUACUAAGAUCAGUACUUUUCUGUUGCCAGAAAUUUUAGUUCCAAGAUGGCUCUAGACUAGUCUCAUGCAAUGUGGAAGUUGGAAUGGAGUGGCUGUGAAGGUGUCGCUUGAACUGUGUGAAGAGCCUACCCCAGUUCUCAUUGGAGCCACUUUGGACUUUUAUCUUGGUGUUUUUAUCUCAGUUGGGAUGGCUUUGAUUUAUUUUUAUCAAGAGCUUUAGGUGUUUGCCAGUAGACUCUAGACAACUUGAAAAGGGAGGGUGUGGCAAAAUACUCCUGCUUUAAACAAAAUAAAUGCUCUUAUUGUAAUAAAAGAAUGAAGAUGGAACAUCA